rnacentral:lncRNA from 1 species
GCCUCAGGCCAGCAGACGACAGGGCUGUCAAUGUAUUUGUCCCGAGACCCCGAGACUCUACCGAGUCUCUUGAUCAUAAUAAUUAACGCGAAAAUUGAAUCGAUGGUUUUUCGGGUAUACGUACGCUGACUGACGCCUGAUUAGACCUGAGCCAACCACAAAAAGAAGAAAAAGAAGAAGACUGACGACUGACCCAUCUGAUCACAUCUUCCAAAUUCGAUGUGAAUCAGUGAAGUGACUCUUAUAAACAUUCAGAAGGCUGGUGAUUUUUACGAUCUUUGUGGAGGUGAAAAAUUUGUCACUAAUGCCACUCUCUCGGAUCUCGGAGCUCGUCCAGCUUUACAUGGAGAAUGGGUGAACAGUUUUUUGAGAGAAAAAAACAGUGAACUUAUUGAACUCAAGUAUCCUCUAAAUCGUGCGGAUCCAACAACCUAAAGGUGGAAAGAUCAGUAGGUUUUCAAGAUCUGAAAUAUAACGUUGGUGGGAGCUUGAGAAAUUUGAUAGUUUGAGCAAUCUGAUGGAGCACGUACUACAAAAUAAAUCCCAUGGUUGAAAUAAGCACGAGUGUUGCACGAUUACACCUCAUAAUGGAGUCCUCAAAGUUAUUAACGGUUGUAACGAAAAAUCUGAUUAAUUAUUCUUAUUUUUCUAAUGUUUGCAACACAAUACUGACUGUUAACGUAAUCAGAACUAGAACAUAUAGUAAAUACUUUGGGAUGGGAAGAUGUUUAAUGUGGACCCUAGCGGAUUGUACGACCAGGCAUCGGUCAAAAAAAGUACAAAAACGACCGAAAUUGGUCGAAAACAACCGAAAAACGACCAAAUUCGGUCGUUUUUGUACUUUUUUUGACCGAUGCCUGGUCAUACAAUCCGCUAGGGGAGCAAUAUUCAGACAAUCGUUUUGUGCUACGCGAAUCAACGUUAGUAGCAUAGAGAUAAGUCUAGUGAAGCAAUUGCGCAAAGAAAAUGGUUGCUCGAACGGUUGACUCUGCUGGAACAUUGCAGCGACUGACAACGAGGCAACAGCUGCACAUGCGAAAGGAAAAGCUCGUAUUGGGAACAAAUUGAACUGUUUACAUAAAAUAGCAUUAACAGCAACCUAUUCAUAUGUUCUUAUCAAAACAUGGAGUCGAAAUGGAAUCUGUAGGAAGAUACGGAACGCUGGUUUCUUACGCUGUACGUUUUGCUCUUUCUUCAUCUGGACGUGACCGACCCUCAUGAUACAUCGCUCUAUUGACAACAACUCUAAAGAAGCAAUCCAAUUGUAUUUCAAACGAACAUAACUUCUGGUGGUUCCAAGCGCUUUUUUUCAUUGACCUCUUGCUCUCGUGAUUCAGUUCAUAUCUUUUUAUUCUUGCGAGAUAUUUUUUUACUUGUUUUAUUAUUUUUCUCGAGCACUUGUAUUGAUAUUUGUUAUCGACUAUAACGAACGCUGCCUCAUUUUUGAAAGAGCUUUUUUACGAUAUCUUUCUAGCUCGAAAGUAUUUUAUCAGAGGCAUGCUUUCGUAGAGUUUUUUUUUUAUAAUUACUCCAUCAGUUAGUUCUCUUAUUUCCGCGAUCACAUGAGUGCACAUAUUUUGUGCAUAUGUAGAAUUGUACCAUGGCCAAGCAUAUCUACUAAACUGGGGUGUAAUCUUUUCAAACGUGUGUGAAACUCUCUUAUACUACGUUAUCGUACUAUAAUUGUUUAUAUUAUGUAUGUUCGCAAAUUUUGUCAGAAUUUGAUUAAUGUCUAGUGCAGACGAACAGCACUACUUUAUUUGAUCUCGUGAAGUUUUUCUGUCACUAUUUCCACUUAUUUCGACGGUACAAGAACAGCGGUGUGCAAACAAUUAAUGAAAAAUAUAUGAUGCCUAUUUUAUAAGAAAAAUCGAGGUUUUGGUCUAAUUAUCAAAGCCAAAAGUGAAUACGUACUGAAUUAGAGAUAAGAUAAACGCGUCGAACCCAGAUAAAAAAUAUAUGAAAAAUUUGAAAUUCUUUCGAUAAAAAUAUGUUGAAUUAUUCAGAACUCGUUCAUUCACCAUUCCGUGUCGAUAUUUGGAAAGAUAAUAUGUAGCGGUGGGAUGAAUUUCGAUUAAAAGAUGUUUUUUAAGGCUGUUAUUAGUGUAUACGAGAACUUUUUCCGUUCACCGUGUUGUCAUUGUUCUGGUACUUAUCUUUAUAACGCAUCGCUAGAAAACUGCUUACAUAAUGAGCACAAUGAAAACGACAAUAGUAAAAUAAUUUCAACGAGGUCGCAAAAUAAUUAUCACGAUGUGGUAUACCGGAGUAAUAAUAUUCGCAAAAAUUACGUGAACGGAGCAAUGAAGAUCUUGAAAGAGACUCGGCACGCGAAAUGUUAUGUUCACGAUAGCAAUAAUAGUGAAUCAAGUUUUAAAAUAAAAAAUUUAAUAAAAAACA